rnacentral:SRP_RNA from 1 species
GGCCGGGUCCUGUGCAAUGGCGACCCGUGAACCGGGUCAGGGCCGGAAGGCAGCAGCUCUCAGCGGAUCUCGCCGUGUGCCGCAGAUCGCCUGGCCGUC